rnacentral:lncRNA from 1 species
UUGAUGGUUGCUAUCCACAUUACUGAAGGCAAGGGUGGGGGUUCGAACCCCAGCCACGCUAUUUUUCCUCCCAUUUUCUUCCAUGUGCGCCUUGCGCUCGGUUUUCUCCGGUCUGUACCGGUUUCUUGCUAAAAAUCGCCGGUUCAACUGGCUUUUCCCGGUUUGAGAAGCCUUUCUAUUUUCCUUAUCUCUCGUGCCUUUGAACCGAA